UGGGAGGGCCUGUGGCCGCAGGGACGGACAAAGCAGGGGAUCUCACCGAGGCCUGGCCCGCUCUCGCUGUGGAUGCCUGGGUUGUCAAGGUGGCGAGCGGCAGAGGGCCGACGGAGAAGGGGAUUAGGAAUGUCGCAAUCGGUGUGGACGCCGAGACCUGGUGUGUUCCCAUCUGAUCCCUCUGUCCUCAGAUUUGCUUGCUCAUUGUCGAUACAAAUUUCAUGUUGUAUGAGCCCUGCUCAACGAUAGCAGAUUCCUUUACGCGUCAGAUUGACUGAACUGCUGUUCCGCUCUCCUCUACGGUUUGCUCCUUCAAUCCCACAGUAGCGCCAAACACACAAGCAAGUUUGCCACGUCUGUCCUGGUGUUCUUCAUCUCUUUGGUUUUUCGUUCAUGUGCGCCAUGCCAAAUUGGAGAAAUUGUGGCCGUUGGGAUUUAACUUGAAAGCAUCAUUUAUUCUUCAACUAGCUGGCUACCUCGAGGGCACGUCGUUGAAGAAUGAAUUGGAUGGCAUAAGGUUACUGUUCCUUUCUAAGCAGUGGCUGCUCUCCUUUAUUUAUGAAUACAUUGAAAUUUUUAGAAUAUUUAUUUUGCUGUUUUUAGAUGCUCUAGGUUGUUCAGACUUCAGACAAAAUGUAGCUGCUUUUUUGAAACCACAGGCUUGCUUUCCACCUUUCGCAUGGCAAACAAACUGACGAUGCUCUCCUUUAUUUAUGAAUACAUUGAAAUUUUUAGCAUAUUUAUUUUGCUGUUUUUAGAUGCUCUAGGUUGUUCAGACUUCAGACAAAAAGUAGCUGCUUAUUUGAAACCACAGGCUUGCUUUCAACCUUCCGCAUGGCAAACAAACUGACGACUUGAUAUGAGAAGAGGACGCUACUUGGUCAGCCCUAAAACCUGAGCUCUUCUGCAAUAGAUGACAGGCCAUAUCGAACAUUAUGGCAGUGACUUUUACAGUAAAUCCAGAGCUUUUUUUCAGUAUAUAUGGCAGACCAUUUUUUUGCAGUGGAGAGAUGUGAAGGGGAAAUGGAGGAGGACGUACCUUGAGGCGGAUUCUGAACAGAGUGCAGCGAUAUGCUCAUCGAGGGCCAUAUCGAACAUUAGUUGUUAUCAGUGGAAGUUCUUUUUAAUGAUUUAUCUUGAAAUGGUAACUAUAUACAUUCAACUGCAUAUGUGUUGUUCUUUUCAACUAAGAUACACUUCAGAGUUCCUCCGAGUAGUAGGAUUCCUGAGUAGUUCGUCAAGUGAUCUUUCCAUGUCAAGACAUGUGUUAUUCUAGAGAUAAUGCAUAUAUAUGCUGAAGAUAGACCUUUUGAUAGUUAAGGAUGCAUGGGAUUGUAUCUUGCACUAAAAUUCAGUUUAUAAGAUGAAGCAUGUUUAA